AAAGCGCUUUGUGCGACAGCGCCCGACAGCUUCUCCGCCCGGAGCCGGCUCCGCGCCGUGAAUGGGCCGCGGACAAAGGCGUCCCCUCCCAACUACCUGUAAUUGGAGCGUCCACGUGCGCGGGCGCCGCUGAAAUGCAAGGGACAAAAGGGAGAGGAAUGGCCGCAUCUUCCGGCUGCCCGUUGCUAUAGUUUCCGUGGGGCUGGUGAAGGGGAGGGCGGUUACCAGGCAACGGGAGAGGGACCAAGACAAAGGCAGCCCGGGAGAGGGAGAGGUCUGGGGCAGAUGUUCUGA
rnacentral:lncRNA from 1 species